rnacentral:rRNA from 1 species
GGUCUUUUGUUUAUAUAAAAGAUCUGGCCUGCCCUAUGAUUUAUUUUAAAUGGCUGCAGUAUUUUGACUGUACAAAGGUAGCAUAAUCAUUUGUCUUUUAAUUGAAGGCUGGUAUGAAUGGUUAGAUGAAAAAUAUACUUUCUUUAUUUUAUAUAAAAAAAUUAAUUUUCUAGUCAAAAAGCUAGGAUAUAAUUAUAGGACGAGAAGACCCUAUAGAACUUUAUUAUAUAUAUAUAUAAUUUUUAUUGAUUUAUUAAAAAAUUAUAUAUAAUUUUUAAUUUUGUUGGGGUGACAGAAAAAAUAAUAUAACUUUUUCUAUUUUUUACAUUUAUAUAUGUUAAAUUGAUCUUUUAUUAAGGAUAAAAAGACUAAGUUACCUUAGGGAUAACAGCGUUAUUCUUUUUGAGAGUUCUUAUUGAUAAAAGAGUUUGCGACCUCGAUGUUGGAUUAAAAUAAGUAGCAGGGGUAGAAUAUUGUUUUACUAGGUCUGUUCGACCUUUAAAUUUUUACA